UACGUAGGGUGCGAGCGUUGUCCGGAAUUACUGGGCGUAAAGAGCUCGUAGGUGGUUUGUCGCGUUGUCCGUGAAAACUCACAGCUCAACUGUGGGCGUGCGGGCGAUACGGGCAGACUGGAGUACUGCAGGGGAGACUGGAAUUCCUGGUGUAGCGGUGGAAUGCGCAGAUAUCAGGAGGAACACCGGUGGCGAAGGCGGGUCUCUGGGCCGAUAUUGACGCUGAGGAGCGAAAGCGUGGGGAGCGAACAGG
rnacentral:rRNA from 1 species